rnacentral:lncRNA from 1 species
AAAUAAAAUCCACAUUAAAAAUUUGUAAGGAAUCAUCCUGAAGCAAAAUAAAUGGAACUGGAGAUUCAGUGACUCAAAAUAAGAGUCAGAAAGAUAUGUUUUCUCUCCCAGGUGCAAUCUAAGGAGUUAGAGAAGAGGAAGUGAACAAGGGGAAAGGGGAGAAAAGGGGAAGAGACGCAACAGGAAUGAAUGGACGUGAUGGAGCCAAUCACCAAAUCUUCAUGACUUUGCUUUCAAAAUAACUGGAAUAUGGAAAUACCACAGUACUUUCACUACCUCCGUGGAUUGUUGUCUAG